rnacentral:rRNA from 1 species
UACAGAGGGUGCGAGCGUUGUUCGGAAUCAUUGGGCGUAAAGCGCACGUAGGCGGCCUUGUAAGUCAGAUGUGAAAGCCCUGGGCUCAACCCAGGAAGUGCAUCUGAUACUGCAAGACUUGAGUCCCGGAGAGGGUGGUGGAAUUCCUGGUGUAGAGGUGAAAUUCGUAGAUAUCAGGAGGAACACCGGUGGCGAAGGCGACCACCUGGACGGAGACUGACGCUGAGGUGCGAAAGCGUGGGGAGCAAACAGG